CUUGCCUCUUUGCUGGUGACUGUCCCACCUGCUGGGAAAGGGAUACCCAGAGGUCCACAGAAGAGUCCUCGGAUCAGAAGACAGCAGCCUCCCUCCUUGCCCCAUCAGAAGGUCCAGGAGCACAGGCCGGAGGAACAGUUGCCUCUAGAUCCUCAGUUUCUCUGUCUGUGAAAUGGGAGAGAUACUGGACCAGGGUUAGGACUAUAUGAAUGGUGUUCAGUCCUAAGCCCAUGGUCUUCAUAUGGAUCUGAGCCCCUGAAAGGGCCCGUAGGCUGGGGAGAGAUCCUGUCACAUGCCCUGGCCCAGACUCCUUUGGUAUCCAAAGCAGAUGGCCCCAGCAAGAUGGGGAUAAUAUUCCAAGCAGCUUCCCAAGCUUGGCCAGGCAUCUGGGCACCAGGCACAGCACAUGUUUGCUACAUAUGUUGGUGACGUGUUUGCCUCCAAGAACGGAAGUGGCCCAGAAGUUCUCCAUACAGUGUCACAUACCAUCUCCAGGAAGGCUGUCCAUCCAGGGAGCGGCUGACUCGCUAGCUGAGGAGCUGGUGAGGAGGAACUUCAGAUGGUGGUAGGAUUCAAGCCAGAGCUGUGUGGACCCAGGUGCUCUUCACCGUUAGAUUCAGCAAGAGCAUGUACCAGGUUUACCCAGAGGUCUUGCCCCGGCUCCCAGCUAACACCUCCCUAGUUAUCCUGGAAUCCACUAUGCAAACCAGCAAGCUCUAACUCACAGAGAUGUACCUCUGCCUCCUGAGGGCUUGCUUGGCUUACAAGCAUGGACCACCUCACCUGGCCUUCUACCCUGUCUCACAUGGCUGCAUCUUUACGAUAUUGUAGUAUGAUAUAA